GACCCGUUAGCUCAGUUGGUUAGAGCGUCGUGCUAAUAACGCGAAGGUCGCGGGUUCGAUCCCCUCACUGGCCA
rnacentral:tRNA from 1 species